rnacentral:tRNA from 1 species
AUGGCUAUAGCCAACGUUUUAGGCAGACGCGACUUUGACUCCGUCUGCGCUGGGUUCGAAUCCAGCUAGCCCAGCCA